UUAAUUUGUUUAAGCAUGACAAUUAAAAAUGUUAAAUCAAAUGAAUGUAAGUUAAUGCUAACUUAAUUGAUCCUUUAUUAAUAUAAAUGUAGCCCGGAGUAACUUAAAAGAGACAAAUAAAAAUGGCCCCCAUUUAAAUUUUGAACUUUUUCCGAUCCGGGAACAAUGGUAAUUCUUGUGACAAUUUAUUAUGUAUUACUGGAUUAUACUGUGUUGUGAGUAAAAUUAAUCUUGUUAAACUCAGGUUCAUCAGCAGGUUGCACCCACGCUUUACUCUAUGCAUCAGUAGUUGAAUAACAAGGAAACAGUAUUCAGUACGUGAUGAGCUUUCGUGGUACACGCAACAGACGCUCCUCGAUUUACCUGUGUUUUUCUUGUCUGUUUUAACAGGAAGACACUCCUGUCCAAGGAGAAGACAAAGCUGGCCCUUCCCAACCACCAGCUAGAGCGAAGAAAAAAUAUGCUAAAAGAUCGUCGCAGGAUGAUGAGCAAACAGUGUCUGCUGCACGUCUCAGGCGGAGAGUGGCGCCAAGUGGUCAUCGCCCACAAUUGAGGUCUAAAUAUUCCCAUUUUAAAGCAUUUAUUCAACAAAAGGUAAUGCUGCCAGUGAAUACGACAUUCACUGUGGUAGCACUACAGAUCUUCUUGUGGUGGGAAAACUUGGUUUCCAGAUGAAAACUCCAUCACUAAUAUUCAAGACAGCGGCAGCAAAAAUUCUGACAUCUCUAUUGACGAGCCAGUCCCCUCAGACAUUGAGAUGGAGGACACGACCCCGACAUCCAUGAUGGUCCAAAUGUGACCUUCCAAACAUACGGAGAUGGUGGACCCUUAUCCUUCUGGAGAACUUUGGGGUUUUCUCUGAAAGACACAGUGUGGAUCAUUGAUGACAGCUAUAUCAGACGUGGUGCCCAGAGAGCUGCCCAGACCAUGGGAAGCAACCUCAGUCUGCCAGGCAUCGGUGUCUGUUGGCAGGGGCGUCAUGCACCUAUUUUUUUUUGAGGGGGCACAGUGUGCACAACAAACAGAAACGUGUUCACAAAUACAGACGUUAAAAGCAAUAUUCUAUUUAUUUUAUAUUUAUACA